CACUUACUCCCUCCGUUCCGAAUUACUUGUCGCAGGUAUGGAUGUAUCUAGAUGUAUUUUAGUUCUAGAUACAUCCAUUUCUGCGACGAGUAAUUUGGAACGGAGGGAGUAUAUG
rnacentral:pre_miRNA from 1 species